rnacentral:rRNA from 1 species
UGGGGAAUAUUGCGCAAUGGGGGAAACCCUGACGCAGCGACGCCGCGUGCGGGAUGAAGGCCUUCGGGUUGUAAACCGCUUUUGAUUGGGAGCAAGCCUUUUGGGUGAGUGUACCUUUCGAAUAAGCGCCGGCUAACUACGUGCCAGCAGCCGCGGUAAUACGUAGGGCGCAAGCGUUAUCCGGAAUUAUUGGGCGUAAAGAGCUUGUAGGCGGUUCGUCGUGUCUGGUGUGAAAGCCCAUCGCUUAACGGUGGGUUUGCGCCGGGUACGGGCGGGCUAGAGUGCAGUAGGGGAGACUGGAAUUCCCGGUGUAACGGUGGAAUGUGUAGAUAUCGGGAAGAACACCAAUGGCGAAGGCAGGUCUCUGGGCUGUUACUGACGCUGAGAAGCGAAAGCGUGGGGAGCGAACAGG